rnacentral:rRNA from 1 species
CGAGAAAGCCCGCAAGGGUGAGUAAAGCGGCGCACGGGUGCGUAACACGUGGAUAAUCUGCCCUGGAGUCCGGAACAACUCGCCGAAAGGCGAGCUAAUGCCGGAUGAGACCACGGGGGCUUCGGCCCCUGAGGGAAAAGGUGGCCUCUGUACGCAAGCUAUCGCUUCAGGAUGAGUCCGCGGCCCAUCAGCUAGUUGGCGGGGUAAUGGCCCACCAAGGCAACGACGGGUAGCUGGUCUGAGAGGACGAUCAGCCACACUGGAACUGAGACACGGUCCAGACUCCUACGGGAGGCAGCAGUGGGGAAUCUUGCGCAAUGGGCGAAAGCCUGACGCAGCAACGCCGCGUGUGUGAUGAAGGUCUUCGGAUCGUAAAGCACUGUCGCGAGGGACG